GACGAACCGUGCGAACGUUGUUCGGAAUCACUGGGCUUAAAGGGCGCGUAGGCGGGCUGCCAAGUCCGUGGUGAAAUCCCCCGGCUCAACCGGGGAACGGCCUCGGAUACUGGCGGCCUCGAGGGGGGUAGGGGCGUGCGGAACUGUGGGUGGAGCGGUGAAAUGCGUUGAUAUCCACAGGAACUCCGGUGGCGAAGGCGGCACGCUGGACCCCUUCGUGACGCUGAGGCGC
rnacentral:rRNA from 1 species